GGACCCUAAAAUAACUGAGUGAGAGGUGAAUAUGCUAUUUCUAAAAAGUACAGCCUGUUCUGCUUUGGAUGCCAGGGGAUUAUGUCACUGUAUCUGUUCCUAUCACAAAGGGAUGCUUUUCUGGAGCGCCUACUGCGCUGCAUGGAUCCUGCAUACAUCAGGGCCAGGAUUACCAACCAGGCGAAAGGUAGGACUUUCGCCUUCAUCCCAAGUGAGGGAUAUUUGCAAGCACAUAACCAAGAGAACAGGUAUUCCAGUGUAACAUGUUUGUGAUGUGGGAGGAGGCACUGGAAUCCUGAAACUCAAAGGACUCCCAGCCAACCGGGAACAGCCAAGAAAGGAGGUUCACUCCCAGUGGAAAGAGCACGAGCUUUGCUGUCGAAGGGACCUGGAUGCAGACACUGCCGCAGCCUUUGCAGCUUCAUGCUCUUGGCACAUCGUCUACCCUCUGAGCCUCCGUUCUCUUACAUGUAAAAUGGAGAUAAAUACACAUAUCUCACAGAUCAUUAGAAAGAUUGGGAGAGAUCCUUACAGACAACACGUGGGUCAUCUGGGAGCAGACCAGGUCGGGUGUGAUUCCGUCUGUCCUGAGACUCUUAAAAUUCUAAACUUCUGCCAUCUACAAUCAAGAGCAGGAGACAAGGCAAACACAUGCGAGAAAUAAAGGCAAGUAGAAUCCAAAUGAGCUAUAUAACUAAUCACAGCCAUGCAGUUAUGGGUGGAGAGGGCACUCUGGAGUGAGGGCAGGGAUGGGGGCCGCUAGGAUCCAUGGGGGCUCAUCUGGCCAAGGGGGCGGUCAGCAGGCCAAGCUCU
rnacentral:lncRNA from 1 species